rnacentral:rRNA from 1 species
AUGAACGCUGGCGGCGUGCCUAAUACAUGCAAGUCGAGCGAACAGACGAGGAGCUUGCUCCUCUGACGUUAGCGGCGGACGGGUGAGUAACACGUGGAUAACCUACCUAUAAGACUGGGAUAACUUCGGGAAACCGGAGCUAAUACCGGAUAAUAUAUUGAACCGCAUGGUUCAAUAGUGAAAGACGGUUUUGCUGUCACUUAUAGAUGGAUCCGCGCCGCAUUAGCUAGUUGGUAAGGUAACGGCUUACCAAGGCAACGAUGCGUAGCCGACCUGAGAGGGUGAUCGGCCACACUGGAACUGAGACACGGUCUAGACUCCUACGGGAGGCAGCAGUAGGGAAUCUUCCGCAAUGGGCGAAAGCUUGACGGAGCAACGCCGCGUGAGUGAUGAAGGUCUUCGGAUCGUAAAACUCUGUUAUUAGGGAAGAACAAAUGUGUAUGUAACUAUGCACGUCUUGACGGUACCUAAUCAGAAAGCCACGGCUAACUACGUG